rnacentral:rRNA from 1 species
GACAGAGGGUGCAAAUGUCAUUCGGAAUUACUGGGCGUAAAGCGCACGUAGGCGGCUUUGUAAGUCAGAGGUGAAAGCCUGGAGCUCAACUCCAGAACUGCCUUUGAGACUGCAUCGCUUGAAUCCAGGAGAGGUGAGUGGAAUUCCGAGUGUAGAGGUGAAAUUCGUAGAUAUUCGGAAGAACACCAGUGGCGAAGGCGGCUCACUGGACUGGUAUUGACGCUGAGGUGCGAAAGCGUGGGGAGCAAAAAGG